AUGGCCGAACCAUCCAAUGGAACUUUUACUGUAGAUAUAUCGGCAGGUCUUGAGAAGAUCCCUAUAUCCGCAAUCAACUCCAUAUCAAACGAGGCCCCGGCAACAUUCUUCUACAUUUCACACAUACAAUACCUCGGGAAGUAUCAGCUAGAUCCUCCACCGGGUUGUGACUGUGUUGGUCCAUGUUCGGACUCGCAAAAGUGUGCAUGUGUAAUGAAAAAUGGAGGGAAGAUCCCUUUCAGAAAGAUCGGUGGUCUCAUAGAGGAAAAACCUCUUAUUUACGAGUGUGGACCUUCAUGCAAGUGCCCUCCAACUUGCCGCAAUAGAGUGGGCCAACAUGGAAUUAGUUUUCGCCUUCAAGUCUUCAAGACAACAUCAAUGGGUUGGGGAGUACGAAGCCUUGAUUUUAUACCUACGGGGCGUUUUGUGUGUGAAUAUAUAGGGGAGUUGUUGGAUAACGAAGAUGCUCAGGAGAGGGAUAAUGAUGAGUACUUGUUCCUUAUUGGAAACAACUAUUAUGAUGUAUCCCGCUGGGACAACUUACAAAAGACUAUCCCCUCACUUAGGAAUGGCCCUGGGGAAGAGGAAGAAAAUUUCUUUGCAGUGGACGCACUGAAAUGUGGCAACCUUGCAAGGUUCAUUAACCAUAGCUGCACCCCUAACCUUUUCACACAAAAUGUUCUUUGUGACCAUGACAACAAGGGUAUGCCUCACAUCAUGCUCUUUCCUUGUGAGGAUAUUCAGCCUCUUGAACCACUAGCAUAUGACUAUAAUUAUACCAUAGAUGGGGUCCAUGACUCUGAAGGUAACAUCAAGAAGAAACGAUGCUUAUGUGGCUCUGUCGAGUGCAGUGGAUGGUUGUACUAG
rnacentral:rRNA from 1 species